CAGCCGCCGCGGGAAAACGAAGGGUGCAAGCGUUACUCGGAAUUACUGUGCGUAAAGCGUGCGUAGGUGGUGGUUUAAGUCCGUUGUGAAAGCCCUGGGCUCAACCUGGGAAUUGCAGUGGAUACUGGGUCACUAGAGUGUGGUAGAGGAUAGUGGAAUUUCCGGUGUAACAGUGAAAUGCGUAGAGAUCGGAAGGAACAUCUGUGGCGAAGGCGACUAUCUGGGCCAACACUGACACUGAGGCACGAAAGCGUGGGGAGCAAACAGGAUUAGAUACCCCAGUAGUCCCUGUCUCUUAUAC
rnacentral:rRNA from 1 species